rnacentral:lncRNA from 1 species
UUACAGCAAGCUCAUCUCAAUUUUUUAUUUAGGUUUUUUAAACAUGAUUAAGCUUCAGAAGCCAUCAGGCAGGCACAACAUUGUACUGCUCCAGCGAUUUUCCUAACAGUUGCACUGACUUGUUUGGCAUCUCAUCUUGUCUCCGAACAUGACCAGAGAAAGGGAUUUUGGUUUGUACGAAAGAAUAUGGCACACAAAGCACCAAAGAGAUUAAGAGCCUGAUAGCAAUCUUGACUUGUCACCAUUUUAGUUUUGUAAGACUUAUGCAUGCACCACACAGAAAUUCAGAGCAUUAAAGCCAACAGCUGGUAGUAGCCAGGUGGAGGUCAGAUUUUUUCCCUCAUUAAAGAUAAAUAUGAAAAGCACCACAGGGUUACUUUGGACUAAUGAAGGGUGAACUCAAACAUCACCACAAAAGCAAAUUCUCUUCAGGACGGCUGGACAAAUCGCUUCCAGUACAAAUGUAAAGGAUGCUGGGCAGGCUUCUUUUCACAGAUGAGAUGUGCUUGUAAAUGCAGACAAAUCUCUCUGCAUAUGCAGAGCAAACCUCAAAAAUUUCAGCCAGUUGAACAAGACUCCCCAGCCAGAAACAUUAAGUCCUGGAACACAAUGAUUUACAAGACACUUUUUCCAGCUGAGGAUCAAGGCGCAGCACCGCAAGAUGCUGGUGAGCAACAAGUCACAUGUCUGUACAUGCAGUGUUUUAAGAACCCAAUUUUCUCUGUUCUUCUGGAAACAGAAGUAUCAGAAGCCUCUGAUGGAAGAAAACUUUACAAAGAAAAAUUUCAGGGAGUUAAAGAGAACCUCAAAGAGACCAAAGAAAAUGAGGACAAAUUUCAGUAUGUUGAUAAUUCUGGAGAGUACUUUUAACAUGAAGAGAAUACAGAGACUAGACCUCUAUUUAGCUGUUCUAUAAAAGCCAUAGCAGCAGUGGUUGGGUUUUGCUACUUGUUUUGGUAAGCAGAUGAGGAGGCCAAUACAAUGUGUUCAAUAACUGGAGCUCCAAGUAUAGGCAAUGUGUGUGCACAUAUGGCUGAUUAAGUCAUGGCCCAUCAGGUACAGGCAAACUUCACAUAUAGGACAGAAUAAAAUGGUAUGAGGAAUAAAGCACGCGAUCAAAAUCUAACUUAGCAGACUCUGGAGAAGACAAGCCUACCCAGGUUUUAAACGUUUGUUGAGCCAAGCAAAGAGCUUUCUGAGCUUGAAACAUCUUUUCAUGUGAAAGGAAUUUGAAACUUUAGGGUCUACGAUGAAAAAAAAAAAAAA